rnacentral:rRNA from 1 species
AUUGAACGCUGGCGGCAUGCCUUACACAUGCAAGUCGAACGGCAGCACGGGAGCAAUCCUGGUGGCGAGUGGCGAACGGGUGAGUAAUAUAUCGGAACGUGCCCAGUAGUGGGGGAUAGCCCGGCGAAAGCCGGAUUAAUACCGCAUACGACCUGUGGGUGAAAGCGGGGGAUCGCAAGACCUCGCGCUAUUGGAGCGGCCGAUAUCAGAUUAGCUAGUUGUGGGUAAAGGCCACCAAGGCGACGAUCUGUAGCUGGUCUGAGAGGACGACCAGCCACACUGGAACUGAGAGACGGACCAGACUCCUACGGGAGCAGCAGUGGGGGAAUAUUGGACAAUGGGGGCAACCCUGAUCCAGCGAUGCCGCGUGUGUGAAGAAGGCCUGAGGUUGUAAAGCACUUUAGUUGGGUAGGAAGAAGUCCAGAGAUGAAUAAGCUAUGGAAAUGACGUUACCCAAAGAAUAAAG